rnacentral:rRNA from 1 species
UACGUAGGGUGCGAGCGUUGUCCGGAAUUAUUGGGCGUAAAGGGCUCGUAGGCGGUUUGUCGCGUCGGGAGUGAAAUCCACUGGCUUAACUGGUGGCUUGCUUUCGAUACGGGCAGACUGGAGGUAUGCAGGGGAGAACGGAAUUCCGGGUGUAGUGGUGAAAUGCGUAGAGAUCCGGAGGAACCCCAGAGGCGAAGGCGGCGCUCUGGCUCGCAACUGACGCUCAGACACGACAGCAUGGGGAGCGAACGGG